AUUGAACGCUGGCGGCAUGCCUUACACAUGCAAGUCGAACGGUAACGGGUCCUUCGGGAUGCCGACGAGUGGCGAACGGGUGAGUAAUAUAUCGGAACGUGCCCAGUAGUGGGGGAUAACUGCUCGAAAGAGCAGCUAAUACCGCAUACGACCUGAGGGUGAAAGGGGGGGAUCGCAAGACCUCUCGCUAUUGGAGCGGCCGAUAUCAGAUUAGCUAGUUGGUGGGGUAAAGGCCUACCAAGGCAACGAUCUGUAGUUGGUCUGAGAGGACGACCAGCCACACUGGGACUGAGACACGGCCCAGACUCCUACGGGAGGCAGCAGUGGGGAAUUUUGGACAAUGGGCGCAAGCCUGAUCCAGCAAUGCCGCGUGCAGGAAGAAGGCCUUCGGGUUGUAAACUGCUUUUGUCAGGGAAGAAAUCUUAUGGGCUAAUACCCCGGGAGGAUGACGGUACCUGAAGAAUAAGCACCGGCUAACUACGUG
rnacentral:rRNA from 1 species